UGGGCAGCCGGCCCUGCGGAGGGCCCCGCGGGCGAGACCAGAGCCCUCCGAGCGCGUUCCGGCCUCGAGGUGCCUCGCAGUUGGGCCCCUCGGACGGGUCUGGCCCGGGGUCUUGAAGGAGGGGUUUGCCGCGCACUUCCCCUGGCGUCUCAAAAAGACCAUCGUUUUGAUCUGGAUCCCUGGCCACGCCUUUUGGCCCUGGGAGGCCCCAGCCCCGCUGUUUGUCUGUCUUCUUCCCGGGUCCGCACUUACCCGAGACCCUGCCUCAUCCUUUCCUUUCCUCACAUCUCUGUAGACCUUUGUAUUCCCGUUGUCCCUUUCCCCUGUGUCCCAAGGUAACCAGCCGUUAGCGCUUUUUAUCUGCACCCCAGCUCGUCUCCUGGGGGGAACCUUCCUUCUUCCAGCCGGGUUUGCACUCGGUUUUGUCCCCCGGUGAGACAUCUUCCCCUCUUCCCCCGUCUUCUCUCCGCAGUGGCCUGUGUGGGGGGCCCUGCCUCUCCUUUGAGCGCUCCUUUAUUCCACGCCCCCUCCCCCCCUUCCUGCAAUCCCAUCCCCUGCAAAUGAUUCCAAACCGCUGCCCUUCUUGAAGGGAAAACGACUUUUUUUUCCUUCUCUUUUUUUUUCUGGAUUAGACGUGCCCUUUUCUUGGUGACAGGUAAAAUAAUGUAGGGUCUGGUGGGUGUAAGCGUUUGUUUUUAACUCUCACCUCUGGCAAGUCAGUUAGCCACCUGGACACCUAUUCUGGAGGAACAUUGUUUUCGGUAGCCAGGCCAGCGCGUAGGUGAUCUAUGUUUACACAAGCCCAAGCUUGGCCCUGCGGCCCUUUUCUCUUUUGUAAAUUUCCCCUGUGCCUGGUGAGUCCCUCAAAAACCACUUGCAGAUGUUCUUUUGGCUACUAACCUUAACUGGCUAAGCCAAGGAAAUGAUCCCCUUAAAAUCUCGGUAAAUCUGUGCCCUCCAACUUAAAUCAGCUUGAGUGUGUUCUGGAAACUGAGUUUGUAGGUAAACAUUUGCAAGAGAAACAAAUCUUAACUGAAGAUAAAUUACACAGAGCUCUUCAGGUACAUCGCUUCUGUGAGAAGACAUUUUGCCUGGACUGCCCAGAGUUCUGCACCUGCUCUAAGCGAAAGACAUGAGGCCUAAGACUGAGAUGAGGUUGUUUUGAGGCCAUCUGAUUUCUGACUAGAAGGUGUGCGAUCGCCUCGUCCUGAAACCACUUCAAACAGAAUGGUUUGCAAUUUUUUUUGGUGAUGGCAUGUUCAGAAUCUUGGAUCCCUAAGUUGAAUAUGUUGGAAAUAUUUAGGAACUCUGGAAAUUACUGUUUGGUGUAUAUAAUGACUUACUAGGUGAAUCAGUAGAUUUAAUAAAAAAGUAUAUAAAAGAA